rnacentral:rRNA from 1 species
UACAGAGGUCUCAAGCGUUUGUUCGGAUUCAUUGGGCGUAAAGGGUGCGUAGGUGGCGCUGUAAGUCGGGUGUGAAAUUUCGGAGCUUAACUCCGAAACUGCAUUCGAUACUGCGGUGCUUGAGGACUGGGAGAGGAGACUGGAAUUCAUGGUGUAGCAGUGAAAUGCGUAGAGAUCAUGAGGAAGACCAGUGGCGAAGGCGGGUCUCUGGACAGUUCCUGACACUGAGGCACGAAGGCCAGGGGAGCAAACGGG